rnacentral:rRNA from 1 species
UGACAGCCCCGUACACAAAAAUGCACAUGCUGUGAGCUCGAUGAGUAGGGCGGGACACGUGGUAUCCUGUCUGAAUAUGGGGGGACCAUCCUCCAAGGCUAAAUACUCCUGACUGACCGAUAGUGAACCAGUACCGUGAGGGAAAGGCGAAAAGAACCCCGGCGAGGGGAGUGAAAAAGAACCUGAAACCGUGUACGUACAAGCAGUGGGAGCACGCUUCGGCGUGUGACUGCGUACCUUUUGUAUAAUGGGUCAGCGACUUAUAUUCUGUAGCAAGGUUAACCGAAUAGGGGAGCCGAAGGGAAACCGAGUCUUAACUGGGCGUUAAGUUGCAGGGUAUAGACCCGAAACCCGGUGAUCUAGCCAUGGGCAGGUUGAAGGUUGGGUAACACUAACUGGAGGACCGAACCGACUAAUGUUGAAAAAUUAGCGGAUGACUUGUGGCUGGGGGUGAAAGGCCAAUCAAACCGGGAGAUAGCUGGUUCUCCCCGAAAGCUAUUUAGGUAGCGCCUCGUGAAUUCAUCUCCGGGGGUAGAGCACUGUUUCGGCAAGGGGGUCAUCCCGACUUACCAACCCGAUGCAAACUGCGAAUACCGGAGAAUGUUAUCACGGGAGACACACGGCGGGUGCUAACGUCCGUCGUGAAGAGGGAAACAACCCAGACCGCCAGCUAAGGUCCCAAAGUCAUGGUUAAGUGGGAAACGAUGUGGGAAGGCCCAGACAGCCAGGAUGUUGGCUUAGAAGCAGCCAUCAUUUAAAGAAAGCGUAAUAGCUCACUGGUCGAGUCGGCCUGCGCGGAAGAUGUAACGGGGCUAAACCAUG